AGAUGUUCCUAAACACAUCCAAGUCAAACUAGACAAGCUGGAGUUUGACUCCCUAGAAGCUCUUAAGAAAAGAAAAUACUGGAAGUUGCGGAGACCGGAAAUACGUGGAAUAAGUGACAAGUGACAACAACCCAAUGAAAGAACUCAAGGUGUACACAAGCUGUAAACUAUCUAGUAUUAUAUGUUUCACUGAAUUUAAAUAUGCACUCCUUGCCAUAUUAUCCACAAAAUGGCUUGUUGAAAAUUGUAUUAUAUUUUCCAGGCAUUGCAGUUGCAUGCAUUGUUUUAUGAUUUCUCUUAGUCUAUUAAACGGUUAUUGACAUAAUGAAAGAGGUGAAAAUGGGAAUCCAGUUAAUGUACUGUAUGAUGGGGUCAAAUGACCAGGUUAAUUUGGUUAGUCAUUUUUAUUCCUGUUUAAAUGUCUGAAUCUGUAAAAAAAAAAUCUGUAAAAAAAAAAAAAGUUGGAAAGAGAUGGUUAUACCUUGGGACUUAAAAAUCCCAAACAAAAAGAUUGAUAUAAUUUUAUGAGGUAUUGAAUUGACCAGUUUCUUUGACUGAGUUUCUACCAAAGAUAGAGCAGUGCCUUUAAACAUCACUAUCACAUUUACCUGUUAUGGCUUUUGUUUACAGAGUCAGGCCACUUCACCCUGUACUGUACUUGCAUUAAGCAUAUUCAAUAAUUCUCUGCCUGAAAAUAAACAUUUU